GACGAACGCUGGCGGCGUGCUUAACACAUGCAAGUCGAACGGAAAGGCCCUGCUUUUGUGGGGUGCUCGAGUGGCGAACGGGUGAGUAACACGUGAGUAACCUGCCCUUGACUUUGGGAUAACUUCAGGAAACUGGGGCUAAUACCGGAUAGGAGCUCCUGCUGCAUGGUGGGGGUUGGAAAGUUUCGGCGGUUGGGGAUGGACUCGCGGCUUAUCAGCUUGUUGGUGGGGUAGUGGCUUACCAAGGCUUUGACGGGUAGCCGGCCUGAGAGGGUGACCGGCGACAUUGGUACUGAGAUACGGACCAGACGCCUACGGGAGGCAGCGGUGGGGAAUAUUGCACAAUGGGCGGAAGCCUGAUGCAGCAACGCCGCGUGCGGGAUGACGGCCUACGAGUUGUAAACCGCUUUCGCCUGUGCCGAAGCGUGAGUGACGGUAAUGGGUAAAGAAGCACCGGCUAACUACGUG
rnacentral:rRNA from 1 species